UGGAAGAGGACAUUCAGGGUUUUCCCAACAGUCAGCAAACUAAGAGAUCUGAAGUUUCCUCUGUUCAGUUAUUUUAAAGGUUAAUCUGCAGGUUUCCAGAAGAUAAAGAGAUCCGGCAGAGAUGGUUGUCGGCGGCUCAGAGAGAGGAGAACUCUCUGAGAUCAAACUCUUUUCUCUGCUCCAAACACUUUGAGCCGUCUUGCUUCACUCUGAGCGACGAGGUUCGGCUGACUCUAUCACCUGACGCCGUGCCGACCCUCAUCCCAGAGGCAGGGCAGGAGGACCAGGUCCCUGUCCCUUCAGAGGAGGACUUCCUGUUCUCUCACAGCCUGGAAGACCUCCUCUCCAAAACCUCUUCUCCUCCUCCUUCCCCCAUGGCGCUGCAGGAGCAUCAGUACUGCCUCCAGGACCCAGAACCCACAGAGACGGAGCAGAAGAGGAGGUUCCUCAAUGAGUCCAGCUUCAAGGUGUUCAACCACAUCGCCAGGUAUCUGAGCCACAGAACCUUACCGAUGCAAAACAAGAAAGGCAUAAGUAGUUUGAAAAGGAUGACCAACCGCUUCGCGCUAAAAGGUGAGUAGAAAGAGUGAUAACACUUAUUUAAUCCGUCAAUCCUCAAUUAACCAGAUUAUAGCAGCUGACUUA